rnacentral:rRNA from 1 species
UACGAAGGGUGCAAGCGUUAAUCGGAAUUACUGGGCGUAAAGUGUGCGUAGGCGGUUUGUUAAGUCUGUUGUGAAAUCCCCGGGCUCAACCUGGGAAUGGCAAUGGAUACUGGCAGGCUAGAGUGUGUCAGAGGAUGGUGGAAUUCCCGGUGUAGCGGUGAAAUGCGUAGAGAUCGGGAGGAACAUCAGUGGCGAAGGCGGCCAUCUGGGACAACACUGACGCUGAGGCACGAAAGCGUGGGGAGCAAACAGG